rnacentral:rRNA from 1 species
AAGCUUGCUUCCGCUGACGACCGGCGAACGGGUGCGUAACGCGUAUGCAACUUACCCUUAACAAAAGGAUAGCCCCGAGAAAUCGGGAUUAAUACUCCAUAGUAUCUCCACCUCACAUGUGGAGGAGAUUAAAGUUUCGGCGGUUGAGGAUAGGUAUGCGACCUAUUAGUUUGUUGGUGAGGUAACGGCUCACCAAGACUACGAUAGGUAGGGGGUCUGAGAGGAUGAUCCCCCACACUGGUACUGAGACACGGACCAGACUCCUACGGGAGGCAGCAGUGAGGAAUAUUGGUCAAUGGACGCAAGUCUGAACCAGCCAUGCCGCGUGCAGGAAGACGGCCCUACGGGUUGUAAACUGCUUUUAUAUGGGAAUAAACCCCCCGACGUGUUGGGGGCUGAAGGUACCAUACGAAUAAGGAUCGGCUAACUCCGUGCCAGCAGCCGCGGUAAUACGGAGGGUGCAAGCGUUAUCCGGAUUCAUUGGGUUUAAAGGGUUCGUAGGUGGAAUACUCAGUCAGUGGUGAAAUCCUACAGCUUAACUGUAGAACUGCCAUUGAUACUGGUAUUCUUGAGUAUAGUUGAGGUGAGCGGAAUGUGACAUGUAGCGGUGAAAUGCAUAGAUAUCACACAGAACACCGAUUGCGAAGGCAGCUCACUAAGCUAUUAUUGACGCUAAGGCACGAAAGCGUGGGGAGCGAACAGGAUUAGAUACCCUGGUAGUCCACGCCGUAAACGAUGAUCACUCGUUGUUGGCGAUACACUGUCAGCGACCAAGCGAAAGCAUUAAGUGAUCCACCUGGGGAGUACGAUCGCAAGGUUGAAACUCAAAGGAAUUGACGGGGGCCCGCACAAGCGGUGGAGCAUGUGGUUUAAUUCGAUGAUACGCGAGGAACCUUACCUGGGCUUAAAUGUAGAUUGACAGAUUGGGAAACCAGUCCUUCUUCGGACAAUUUACAAGGUGCUGCAUGGUUGUCGUCAGCUCGUGCCGUGAGGUGUCGGGUUAAGUCCCAUAACGAGCGCAACCCCUAUUCUUAGUUGCCAGCGGUUCGGCCGGGGACUCUAAGAAAACUGCCCGCGCAAGCGGUGAGGAAGGUGGGGAUGACGUCAAAUCAUCACGGCCCUUACGUCUUGGGCUACACACGUGCUACAAUGGUAGUGACAAUGGGCAGCCACUCCGCGAGGAGGCGCAAAUCCACAAACACUAUCUCAGUUCGGAUCGGAGUCUGCAACUCGACUCCAUGAAGCUGGAAUCGCUAGUAAUCGCGCAUCAGCCAUGGCGCGGUGAAUACGUUCCCGGGCCUUGUACACACCGCCCGUCAAGCCAUGGAAGCCGGGGGUACCUGAAGUCGGUCACCGAAAGGAGCUGCCUAG